rnacentral:rRNA from 2 species
UUGGAGAAGCUUGCUUCUCCAAGUUAGUGGCGGACGGGUGAGUAACGCGUGAGCAACCUGCCUCAAAGAGGGGGAUAACAUUCUGAAAAGGAUGCUAAUACCGCAUGAAAUCACGGGAAGACAUCUUCCUGUGAUCAAAGGAGCAAUCCGCUUUGAGAUGGGCUCGCGUCCGAUUAGGUAGUUGGUGAGGUAACGGCCCACCAAGCCGACGAUCGGUAGCCGGACUGAGAGGUUGAACGGCCACAUUGGGACUGAGACACGGCCCAGACUCC